CGCUCCUCUCCUUUCCUCCUCCCUAAUUUGCUCUCGCCACUCCUCUCCCUUUUUCAUCCCUAAUCUGCUCUCGUCGUCGCCACUUCUCUCAUCCACUCUCACGCAUACCUGUGCUGCCGCCGACCUACAUCGCGUGUCACCACCACGAUUGCUCCACAACACUGCCUCUACCGUGAUUCUGCCUUUCUGCUCCCUAACCCAUUCUCGUCGUCGCGGCUCCCUAAUCUUCUCUCACCGUCGCUGCUCCUCUCACCCACGCUCACUCAUCCUUGUCGUCGUUCCUCUCCUUUUCUCCUCCCUAACCUGCUAUCGCCAUCCAUCCCUGUUACUGCUCCUCUCGCCAUCGACGCUCCUCUGCUAGUCGUCGCUGCUGCCAAAGGUUGUGGAUUGGAAGUUUUGAUAGUCACCUUGCUCCUUUCUACAGAAUCAAAUAGGUGUUUCAGCCCAGGGAUUGUCAGGAAGAACAUGACCUUCCACAGGUUUAAUGGAAGAUCCAUCAGCAUGUGCAUCUUUUAUAUCAACAAUACUUAUGGGCUUGUCUGUGUGUUUGCUCAUAUUGGAUUCCUGUAAGAUCCUUUCCUCAUGAACAGCAGGGUUAUCAGACACAGACUUUGAAGGUCCUACAUGAAGGACAGGAUUGAAGAUAAUUUCAUGCUAGUCAUGUAUAGCCCGAUUAGUUGAAUUAUGGAUAUCUUGAGAAAAUUUAACAGUCUCUGAUCCAUGUGGAAUGGAGACAAAUUCCAAUUUAUUAGCUUGACUAGGUGUACUGACCAAUUGUUUAUUUUUUUUCAAACUGCAUGAAAUCAUCUUUGAUAGUUUCAUUACUUUGGCCUGGUGG